rnacentral:tRNA from 1 species
GCGGGCGUGGCGGAAUGGCAGACGCGCUGGCUUCAGGUGCCAGUGGUGGCAACACCGUGGAGGUUCGAGUCCUCUCGCCCGCA